GAAAAAGAGGAGGAAGAGAGACAUAAGUUGUAUGACUUUUCCUUGCCACUUUCAAGUCAUGAUGAAAGCUCCUAUGAUGAUUCUGACUUCAGAGAUAACCACUCAGGACCAGCCCCCACAGAGCGAUGAGCAAGUCGAAAGCAAUGCAGAAAAAAACAGCCCCUCACCUUCUGACCAAUCUGGAGGAAUCCUUGUCCAAGAACUGGGAGAACGUUCGGAAUGAAGCCUGCACAUGGGCUUAAUCUAAAACAGAAACAGGACAAACAAAAAAUAAUACUGCAGCACAUCUAGUCAUUCCCAGUCCGUGGGAAAAAGAAUAUUAAAGUUCACUCCUACCCUGGGCCAAAGUCAAGAUGUAAAGUGAAGUUAAUUCACCUUCAUUCAUUCAUUCAUUUAUUCAUGCAUGCAUUUACUAAUUUUUUCAUUCACUUGUUUAUUAAUGACACCAUGGAAUAUAUAUUAUUAUUAUGUAACAUAGUAAUCAUAGGAGACAUCAUUUUAUUGAGCACCUAUUAUGUGCUGAGUGCUCUGUUAAAGUGUUUUUAAAUAUUAUCUCUG